CCUACGGGGGACAGCAGUGAGGAAUAUUGGUCAAUGGGCGAGAGCCUGAACCAGCCAAGUCGCGUGAGGGAGUACUGCCCUAUGGGUUGUAAACCUCUUUUGUCGGGGAGCAAAAGCCGGACGUGUCCGGCUGUGAGAGUACCCGAAGAAAAAGCAUCGGCUAACUCCGUGCCAGCAGCCGCGGUAAUACGGGGGAUGCGGGCGUUAUCCGGAUUUAUUGGGUUAAAAGGGUGCGCAGGCGGAUUUUUAAGUCAGCGGUAAAAUCGUGGGGCUCAACCCCAUCCAGCCGUUGAAACUGGGGAUCUAGAGUGUGCGAGAGGUAUGCGGAAUGCGUGGUGUAGCGGUGAAAUGCAUAGAUAUCACGCAGAACCCCGAUUGCGAAGGCAGCAUACCGGUGCACAACUGACGCUCAGGCACGAAGGCGUGGGUAUCGAACAGGAUUAGAUACCCGUGUAGUC
rnacentral:rRNA from 1 species